rnacentral:rRNA from 1 species
AACGAACGCUGGCGGCAGGCCUAACACAUGCAAGUCGAACGCUGUAGCAAUACAGAGUGGCAGACGGGUGAGUAACGCGUGGGAACAUGCCCUUCGGUUCGGAAUAACUCAGGGAAACUUGAGCUAAUACCGGAUACGUCCUCAGGGGGAAAGAUUGAUUGCCGAAGGAUUGGCCCGCGUCCGAUUAGCUAGUUGGUGAGGUAAUGGCUCACCAAGGCGACGAUCGGUAGCUGGUCUGAGAGGAGGAUCAGCCACACUGGGACUGAGACACGGACCAGACUCCUACGAGCUGGAGAAGUGGGGAAUAUUGGACAAUGAGCGCCAUCCUGAUCCAGCCAUGCCGCAUGAGUGAUGAAGGCCCUAGGGUUGUAAAGCUCUUUCAGGUGGGAAGAUAAUGACGGUACCACCAGAAGAAGCCCCGGCUAACUCCGUGCCAGCAGCCGCGGUAACAC